ensembl:lncRNA
GGGAGAUGGGUACUGUCGCAACGGACCGACAGCCGGCGCGCAGGAUAAGAAAGUCGCUCCUUCCUCGUCUGCCGCGCAGGCACGAGGCGGACAGCCUCGCGCCAAACACAUCAGCUGGAAGGACCGUCACGGUGGGGCGGAACCGCUGACACAACACCGGCUGGCGAUUGGGGAGUCAGUCGAGAGAAUUCCACCACUCAGGCGACGGGGGAAGAGUAUAAGAGGACGCUCUUCCGCCCGUGCAGGGAUGGGUACUAACUCGCAGACCACGUUCGGGUGCGGACGAAGACGCCAGCUGGUGAGCUUACACACGACGGUGGAUGAGGCACGGGAAAAUCCCACACACUGCUAGGGAAUCCCGACACGCCCUUGAGAGCGUCGCAACGCCAGCCACACCCCCCCACAAAACCUCCCACACCUCACCCACACACACCUCCUCACUUCAGACAGCACCACGUUUGUAACAAAAAACCCCGCCUCUGGUCUUCAUUGGCUGCUCCCGAACAGAGGAGCUGAACUCAUGGUAGUGGGCGUUUCCUUUUGAC